UUUCGUAGCUGGCCGCCUCCGUCCGUGAGGGGUUGGGUUAUGAGCCGUGGGCUCAGGACGUCGCCCAGAUUGUCUGCGGCGGCUCAGAUUCAGGAGAAGGGGUUUGACUAGCUUCGUAGCGAGACCGAGAAGUGGGUGAGGUAUCUCAUGGGAAUGGCGUCUGCGGUGGCUGCGACCCCUUGCGGCGGAGCGGCGAUGGAAGACGACCUGACGACGUGCUGGAGUUCCUGCUGGAUCCAGUUAAUCGAGAAGAGUCCAGGACAGCUUAGAGCACCCUAAAUGGUGCUGCUGCCGCCGCGAGAGGAAGCGCCGGCCUUGCCUGCGGAUUCCAAUUGCGGAUCCGGGCUCCGGCCGUGCACAACGAGUAGGUGGGUGCAGCCCAGGCCGGUCUGGAGGCGAGUUCCGCCGGAGGAAGAAUGCUUCCCCGACUAGGUCCACAGUCCACACAAUCCACUUGGAAGGUGAAUCCGUAAGUGCCCGACGAAGAGGUAAUGCGAGCCGAUUUUUUUUUUGAUUUUGAUUUCAGUUGUGUGUGCCCAACUGCCCAUCCUUUUGCUAUGCUCCUAAAAUCUUCAGUUUCAGUUUGGAUAAUUGAUUUUAAUAUUGAUCCCACCUGUUGGGCUCGUGUGCUGUCUGUUUAGGGAACAGGAUGGUGUAUUAGUAGGUACUUUAUUAGAUUUUGGAGGACUGUGAAAAGUUGAAAGUAUCUUCUGGACAAUUGAGGCUGCGUUUGGGUAGUGCACCAUCUGACCAGAUGCCGCGUGCCUCACAUAUGAGUGUGCUUGAACAAUCUAUCCGCAAAUUUGCAAAAGAACCUACUAAGAGUGUGGUGAAAGCAGAGCUUGAUUUCAAUUUUUUACUCGUUGGGUGAGACGUAUGACAUUUACAACUUGUACUCUUGGAAGGUGACUUUGGCAUACCGUAUGGGAAGAGCUGACUGAACGCCGAGCGGACCAAGCUGACGCAGGAGAUCGUGUGCGGCUGUUUGGCGAGCUUUACUUUUAUUCUGAAUUUUCAUUAUGAUGGCAGUGGUUUAGUGCCAUGUGGGAGAAACAUGUUACAUUAUCUGGAUGUUGUUGUUGCAGGGGAAGCCAGAGGCGGAGAACAGCCGGUUAGCACCUGAAGGAUGAGCUAGGGCCUAGGGGUGUGAGAUUACAGUGACUGACAGGAGGGGCAUCCAUCGAAUGUUGGGUGUGAAAGAAAUGAAGAUGUACCGUGGUUGGCUAGCAAGAUGGUGAGGAAUUUUUUAUCCGCUUUUUGUGGAAGAACUUUGCAAACCAGAUAAUGAAGUUGACUAGGAUUUCAUCCGUAAGAUGAUGGACACCAAGCUAAUGGGUUACAAGAUUGAGUGGCUAAAGAAGUUUAUGUUCCUGGUACACUUCAUGAAGCAAAAAGAGCAAAUUUUUGGGAAUGUAGUUGGACUAAUGGUCUGUUGGCAUGGAGGAGAGUGGUGUUUGCAUUGUACACUACAUUUGCGAUAUCAAUGGGCUUUACCUGACGUCUCGACUCAGUAGGAUAUUGUUUGAUCACCUGUGGAGAAGUCUCGCAUAUGAGAUCGUGACUGUGAGGGGGGACUAGGCUGACAUGCCAACUUUCCUGUACUUCAAAAUCAUGGACUGGUGAAUGAAGCGUGGUUCAGAAUAGUUGCAGGGCGGACCUAUCUUUUGACUCUGUGGUGCGUGUGUUGUUGUAGUUUGUCACUUUUGGUUUGCCACCUCCGAAUCAGGACAACAAAUUUGAAUUUGUAUUGUCGGACCUAAAGUACUGGUCGAAUGUUGAAGUUGCAGCAUUUCCAUGAAACUUGUUGCUGGGGGGCGUCAGGUCUCUGUUUAAUCAA